AACGAACGCUGGCGGCGCGUCUUAAGCAUGCAAGUCGAGCGGCAAGGGCAGCAAUGCCCCUAGAGCGGCGGACUGGUGAGUAACACGUGGGUGAUCUACCUCUGGGAUGGGGAUAGCUUGUGGAAACACAGGAUAAUACCGAAUACGCUUGCCUUAUCGAGAUUUGGCAAGGAAAGGCCCGUUUGGGCCGCCCGGAGAUGAGCCUGCGGCUGAUUAGCUUGUUGGCGGGUAACGGCCCACCAAGGCGAUGAUCAGUAGCCGGCCUGAGAGGGUGAACGGCCACAUUGGGACUGAGAUACGGCCCAAACUCCUACGGGUGGCAG
rnacentral:rRNA from 1 species